UACGUUCCCGGACCUUGUACACACCGCCCGUCAAGCCAUGGAAGUUGGGAGGACCUGAAGCCAGUUGCUGUAAGGCGCUGUUUAGGGUUAAACCAAUGACUGGGGCU
rnacentral:rRNA from 1 species